GUUUUCCAUAUAAAAAAAAAUAUUAGGUUGGUGUAAAAGUAAUCACGGUUUUUGCCAUUACUUUAAAGGCAAAGCCACAAUUACUUCUGCACCAACCUAAUAUGUAAAU
rnacentral:miRNA from 1 species